rnacentral:misc_RNA from 1 species
GAUGAAGAACGUAGUGAAAUGCGAUAAGUAAUGUGAAUUGCAGAAUUCAGUGAAUCAUCGAAUCUUUGAACGCACCUUGCACCCUUUGGCAUUCCGAAGGGUAUGCUCGUUUGAGUGUCAUUGUACUCUCACUCUCCCGAUGCUUUUGGAUCGGGAGUGGUGGACUUGGGUGUUGCUGCUUUGCUGUGGCUCGCCUCAAAUGGAGUAGUGCAACUCUUGGUUGGACAUAGUACGGCGUGAUAAGUGUCUUCGCCGGCGCCUCAUUAUAGAGGGUGGCCGAUCGGGAGCUCUGUGCUUCAAACCGUCUUCGGACAACAUCUGACAACUUGACCUCAAAUCGAGUAGGACUACCCGCUGAACUUAAGCAUAUCAAUAAGCGGAGGA